CACCCAGGUCAGGCAACACGCAACAUGCUGAGCUACCUCAUCACUGACUCCUUGGCAGAGGAGUACAGCUGGCUCGGUCAAAAGGGAAAGAGAAAGUUCGUUGAACUGAAGGUUCCAGGGAUCAUUUUUAGAGCUGUACGGGCCAAUAAAAAGACAACAGCA